UCCGUAUGAGCCGCCACCAAGUGGAAAUAAUUCGUUUCAGGAAUGGUAACCCGAACAAGAGUGAGCUGUCUCUGCCACAACCUCUGCCUGUUGGCUGGGUAACAUUUAACCUAUCAUCAACAUCGCUCACAGAGUUGUGGCUCCUACCACAUACGAAACUUGUGUCAUUAUCCGCUGAUAUGACCAUUGCCAAUCUCAAUAUAGAUGGCAGCAAUAUCACGGUCGGUUGCCAUCACAAUGUGUUUGGGUGGAAUGUGGCUGAGGGCCGGGCAGUGACAGUGCCACUGCCUCGCCGUCACCGUCACUACGUCAGUACGUAUUCCAACACUGCCUCACAACCCAGACUCACGUUGGGAGACAUACACUACAACUGGAUGGGUUUGGUUCUACUUUGGUUGACGUGACUCAGUAUGACAAUAAAUAUCAAAAACCUCUACCAGCAGCCACUGAACAUCACCUCGUUAUCUUUUGCAAUUCUUCUCAUGUUGAAGCUGUUAUCUGUUACAUUGAGGCUGGGAAGAAAAUCUUGAAAACUGUGAAUUUAGGUGAGUUACCAACCUCGGUAACUUUUCAUGAAAAAUCAGAGGAGCAGUUCUAUGUAUUCUAUCACCGAGUUAAUGACAAUGUUACUGACGUUUCAGUAUCUUCAUCUCCUGCAGGUA